GGUGAAAGGAGGAGGAUGAUGAUGAUACAUUGCUGUAUCCUGAGUUUAUAUAUAAAGUCUGAAAUGUAUCAUGACGUGUAAGGCAGACUAAGCCUGUGUCUGACUGGAUUUCUAUAAUGUGGCGUUUACAUUAGGCACCACGAAGAAUUCUGAACAUACAGGUAAAUCUGACAUAUACCAGGAGUUGAGCAGUAACACUACCUCCUUGAGGCUGUUGGGUGUGGUGACCCACUUCCACUUAGACAAAUGAAGGCACAAUUAAAUGUGAUCCAGAUUUAAGAGCCUGGACUUCUUAGAAGUUUUGCCUUAAUGGGAACUGAGUAACAACUGAGAACCACAUUCUAAUCUAUCGCAGCAGUGUGACCCCAUGAUGUCAGUAGAGUUCAUCUGGAUUUAACUGAUCCUAGCUCUUCUGCUCAAUCUGUGGUCUUUUCCACAACUCCACCUCUUUACUACACUUUGACUCCUUUCAUGAUGCAAAUAGCUUGUGGGUAAGGCUGUACUUGUGCAGAGAGGGUGCAUGCUCUCUGAACAGGCCACUUGUGUGGCAGAACCACAUCAGCUCUGCAGCCAGGAAAGCCUUCAUACCUGCAAUGGAGUGGCUACCCAUCAGUGCAGAAUUUGAUAUAAAAUAUUGCCAGAAGGACACCAAGUCUAUCCAGAGUGCCAUGCUAUAUGAUGUCCAACACUACAGGUAAUGUUCCACUGUUGAAGUACAGUAGCAGUUCUUUUCAGAAAAUUGAUUUUUAUACUUGUUUCCAUUAUUCCCAAGAGUUUUGCCAAAUGUAGGAUCCUAAAAUAAAUUGUACAAAUAGGGAGGGAAAAGAGGAAUAGUUCAAUUAAUCAGUGUACCUUUCCUCAAAAAAAUUCAGUUAAAAGAAACCAUCUGUUAAAACAUCAUUUGACUCCCAUGUCAAGGUUGACUGCUCAGAAGGAAGAAUCUCUUGUCAACAGUGGAAAUAGAUUCAGCCCAGAACCCAAAUCUAUGCCUGAAAUUUUGAGAGUUCAGAAUGCUUGUGCUCCUGGAAUUUUAAUCUCUUCUGACACAAUAGGGGAAAAAAGAAUGCCUUUCAAUGUUGCAUUUUCUGUGGCAGGAAAACUAUACACAGCACACUUGUCCUAUAACCAGAAUAUUACUUCACCUGGGGAGGUACUUAAAGUGAAGCCUUUUGUACAAUAAGUAAUUUUUCCACUUAUUCACCCAUUGGAGUAAGCUUGGGAAAUUGUUUGAAUCAUUUCUCUUUAAAAUUAUUUUUGAU